GACGUAGGUGGCGAACGUUAUCCGGAUUCAUUGGGCGUAAAGGGUGCGUAGGUGGCGGGGUUAGUCAGGUGUGAAAUCUCGGGGCUCAACCCCGAAACUGCACUUGAUACUGCCUUGCUAGAGUACUGGAGAGGAGAUUGGAAUUUACGGUGUAGCAGUGAAAUGCGUAGAUAUCGUAAGGAAGACCAGUGGCGAAGGCGAAUCUCUGGACAGUUACUGACACUGAGGCACGAGGGCCAGGGGAGCAAACGGG
rnacentral:rRNA from 1 species